CGCUAAGAAGCUAAGUAGGGUAUAGCAUUAGCCUUUUAAGCUAAACCUUGGUGACUCCCGACCACCCUUAACGG
rnacentral:tRNA from 1 species